rnacentral:rRNA from 1 species
UACGGGGGGGGCAAGCGUUGUUCGGAAUUACUGGGCGUAAAGGGCUCGUAGGCGGCCAACUAAGUCAGACGUGAAAUCCCUCGGCUUAACCGGGGAACUGCGUCUGAUACUGGAUGGCUAGAGUUUGGGAGAGGGAUGCGGAAUUCCAGGUGUAGCGGUGAAAUGCGUAGAGAUCCGGAGGAACACCAGUGGCGAAGGCGACACGCUGGGCCGUACCUGACACUGAUGCGCGACAGCAUGGGGAGCAAACAGG